rnacentral:lncRNA from 1 species
CUCACAGGAGUUAAACGCUCCAAGGAGCACUGCAUGGUGGGCGUGGCUAGACAGUUGCCCUCGCCUUAGGAUCUCUGGCCACACCCCUCAGGGAGUAGCCAAGGGCACAUACCCACAGGCAAAAAAUAUAAACAAGGUCUUCUUGUCACCAUCUGAGACUUGGAAGAAGGUCUGACUCAGGCGGGGAGAUGUGUUGGCCUCAUCCAACCCAGGCACGCCUGCCACGGAGAGUGUGAGGGCUGGAAGGGACCCGGAUGUGAGUGAGUGGGUACAGGAAAGAGCCUACAGCUAGUUGAAUCAAUGCAUGUGGACCGCACAGUUACAGAGGAGCAGUAUAACUGAGAUGACUUUUCUGGAUCCCACACUUGGAGACUCUGGUGUCAGCUCUGCGCUCUGAAAUGGCUCUCAUCUAAAGCUAUGGCCAACCCUCUGGCUGAGACAUCCUCCAAGGAUACACUGGCCUGGGGCAUUCCUCACAUCGUCUCCUGGGGCAGAAGUUGUGUUCAUCUUUUCUGCGUUGGGGAACUGGCUCAAAAGCUGCAUCUGGAAGUCUUCUCUUCGCUCAUAUUCCUUGCCUCGGUAGAUGAACACUUUGUUCUGGAGAGAAAGGAGACCUGUCAGAGACACCAGGGCCUGGGGGAAUGCGGGGCAUAUAACUCAAGCACAGCUGAAGGUGUUCAGAAGGAACUUGGGGCUGGUGGAAGAGAGCAGCUUUGGUAUGUCUUUCUCCUCCCAGCCUCUCAUCAGUUGAAGUAGGGGCUGACUUAGCUGGGCCCAGGCCUAGUUCUGAA